rnacentral:lncRNA from 1 species
CAGCGAUGGCAAUGGGCCGGGCAGGGACCAUGGAAGUGGUGGCAGAGGUGGCAGGAGUGGGGCAGCUGGCGGUGGAGAAGGCUGUGGUCUUCAGGGGUCUGUAGGUGGAGGCAUGGCUCGGGCCAGCAGCAGGAACAGCAGCGAAGAGGCCUGGGGGGCACUUCAGGCUCCGCAACAGCAGCAGAGUCCGGCAGCAUCUUCUCUUGAGGGAGCAAUUUGGAGACGAGCUGGAACCCAGACUCGCGCCCUGGAUGCCAUCCUUUAUCAUCCACAGCAAUCCCAUCUGCUUCGAGAGCUGUGCCCAGGAGUGAAUACCCAGCCCUACCUCUGUGAGAGUGGCCAUUGCUGUGGGGAGACUGGCUGCUGCACCUACUACUAUGAACUCUGGUGUGAGUCUUCUAAGGGAUCCAUCUCAGGUUCCCUGCCCAUCCUCCCUUCGAUUUCUGAAUUCAGCUACCAAAGACCCUUCUCUGCAUGGGGGCUGGGGGCUGGGGUGGUAAUCUGAGUUGAGCCCUCUUUGCCUCCUGCAGGGUUCUGGCUGCUUUGGACUGUCCUCAUCCUCUUUAGCUGUUGUUGUGCCUUCCGCCACCGAAGAGCUAAACUCAGGCUGCAACAGCAACAGCGGCAGCGUGAAAUCAACUUGUUGGCUUACCAUGGGGCGUGCCACGGGGCUGGCCCUGUUCCAACUGGUUCACUGCUUGACCUUCGUGAGUGACUUGGCUCUUGGGUGCAGAACCAGUAGCCCCUCCCAAGCCAGGACCCUCAACCGCACUUCUACUGGCAGACAUUUCAGAGCAUUUUCCCCUAAAAGGAGAGAUGGCUGUUCUAGCUCAGGUCCUUCAGUCAUCCAUGCUGUUCUCUCUCCCGC